CCCUACCCUCUCGUCUCUCCCACCUCUCAUGAGAUAACCCUAAUUCCGUCCACCACCGUGUACCGCCGACCAGAAAUUGCCUCCGCCGCUGGUGAUCGUCCAAAGACCCCCAAAUUAACACCACCUGACCACCUUGCCUUCCUCUUUCCAAAUCUACACCCUGUUUCCCUCAAAAAUCCUACCCAAACUGAUGGAAUAUCACUUUGAAAUACUGACCCAUCCAUUGUGGCCAGUGACACCACCACCCAUUACCACCAUUUUAACACCAUAUGUUCUCCCAGACCCCCUCAUCACGAAUCCACCAGUAUUUUCCUUCAAAUCUCAGCCGAACUUGUCAUAUACUCAAUAAAAAUCUCACCCUAUAACCUUCUUAACCCUCUCAUCUCAAAUCUGCACUCAAACGCACUCAAACGUCUCUACAAC
rnacentral:lncRNA from 1 species